UACGAAGGGUGCAAGCGUUACUCGGAAUUACUGGGCGUAAAGCGUGCGCAGGCGGUUCGUUGUGUCGGCGGUGAAAGCCCCGGGCUUAACCUGGGAAUGGCCGUUGAAACUGGCGAACUGGAGUGUGGCAGAGGGGGGUGGAAUUCCGCGUGUAGCAGUGAAAUGCGUAGAGAUGCGGAGGAACACCGAUGGCGAAGGCAGCCCCCUGGGCUGACACUGACGCUCAGGCACGAAAGCGUGGGGAGCAAACAGG
rnacentral:rRNA from 1 species